UGUAAACAAGUUCAAACCCAUUGUGUGCU
rnacentral:piRNA from 1 species